rnacentral:rRNA from 1 species
AGUGGGGAAUAUUGCACAAUGGGGGGAACCCUGAUGCAGCAAUGCCGCGUGGGUGAAGAAGCACUCCGGUGCGUAAAGCCCUGUCAGCAGGGAAGAAAAUGACAGUACCUGGACAAGAAGCCCCGGCUAACUACGUGCCAGCAGCCGCGGUAAUACGUAGGGGGCAAGCGUUAUCCGGAUUUACUGGGUGUAAAGGGAGCGCAGGCGGCGUGGCAAGUCAGAUGUGAAAACCCGGGGCCCAACCCCGGGAGUGCAUUUGAAACUGCCAUGCUGGAGUGC